rnacentral:misc_RNA from 1 species
GAUGAAGAACGUAGUGAAAUGCGAUAAGUAAUGUGAAUUGCAGAAUUCAGUGAAUCAUCGAAUCUUUGAACGCACAUUGCGCCCGCCAGUAUUCUGGCGGGCAUGCCUGUCCGAGCGUCAUUUCAACCCUCGAACCCCUCCGGGGGGUCGGCGUUGGGGAUCGGCCCUGCCUUUGGCGGUGGCCGUCUCCGAAAUACAGUGGCGGUCUCGCCGCAGCCUCUCCUGCGCAGUAGUUUGCACACUCGCAUCGGGAGCGCGGCGCGUCCACAGCCGUUAAACACCCAACUUCUGAAAUGUUGACCUCGGAUCAGGUAGGAAUACCCGCUGAACUUAAGCAUAUCAUAAGCGGAGGA